GGGAAUUUUGCGCAAUGGGGGAAACCCUGACGCAGCAACGCCGCGUGGAGGAUGAAAUAUCUUGGUAUGUAAACUCCUUUUGAUGGGGAAGAUAAUGACGGUACCCAUAGAAGAAGCCCCGGCUAACUUCGUGCCAGCAGCCGCGGUAAUACGAGGGGGGCAAGCGUUGUUCGGAAUUAUUGGGCGUAAAGGGUGCGUAGGCGGUUUGACAAGUCAACUGUGAAAUCUCUGGGCUAAACCAAGAGUCUGCAGGCGAGACUGUCGGGCUUGAGUAUUGGAGAGGUGAGUGGAAUUUCUGGUGUAGCGGUGAAAUGCGUAGAUAUCGGAAGGAACACCUGUGGCGAAAGCGGCUCACUGGACAAUAACUGACGCUGAUGCACGAAAGCUAGGGGAGCAAACA
rnacentral:rRNA from 1 species